rnacentral:rRNA from 1 species
GUAGGUGGCAAGCGUUGUCCGGAAUUAUUGGGCGUAAAGCGCGCGCAGGCGGGUCCUUUAAGUCUGAUGUGAAAGCCCACGGGCUCAACCGUGGAGGGUCAUUGGAAACUGGAGGACUUGAGUACAGAAGAGGAAAGCGGAAUUCCAAGUGUAGCGGUGAAAUGCGUAGAGAUUUGGAGGAACACCAGUGGCGAAGGCGGCUUUCUGGUCUGUAACUGACGCUGAGGCGCGAAAGCGUGGGGAGCAAACAGGAUUAGAUACCCUGGUAGUCCACGCCGUAAACGAUGAGUGCUAAGUGUUAGGGGGUUUCCGCCCCUUAGUGCUGCAGCUAACGCAUUAAGCACUCCGCCUGGGGAGUACGGCCGCAAAGGCUG